rnacentral:piRNA from 1 species
UAAGUGUGGACCCCUUGCUGUGC